UUGUGGGUUAUUGUCUAUGUGUAGUGUUUGUGUCAGCACGAUUGUUCAUUAGUGUCACGGUUGUUGUUUUGUAGUGUUCAGUUUUCCCAUUAAAAUGACGAAUACUUACCAUUCCGCAUCUUGGUCCUCCUCUCUAUCUCCAGAUGACAACUGUGACAUCGGUCUUUCCUUCACGCAAAUGAUGGGGAUCUGGGCCUGUUCCCGGGAGAGCGGUACAUCUUUCUCGCCAGACUCGUUAAAGGUAAAAGCUUCUUCCAGUUUGUGGUGUGAGGGCCGUCCCGUGCCAGCAGUCAAUUAAAGGUGGAUGACCAACCCCGUGCUCGCCUGGGGACCUGGCUGCCAUAGAAUUGACCUGGAUGGAUGUACCUAGCGACAAGUUGCUGAUGCCCAUUAUCUGCGUGUCUGACAUGCUGCGCUCACUAUCCUUCAGGAGACCCACAGUCAACAUGGAGGACUUGUUCAAGGUCAUGAAGUUCAUUGAGGACUUUGAACAGGAAGGCUGAGAGGUUUCACUAUCAUGUCUCUCCUCUAAACCCCCGUUCGUACAACCUUUUGUCAAAAAGUUGCUACAGUAUUACAACGUUAAACUCUGACUUGUUCGACUAAUCUACAUUGGCAAGAAUGAUGGAUUUAAAAAAAAUGUAUAUUCUUUCCCUACGCUAUUGGACAGUCCUGAAGACUGAAAGACUGUAUUUAUUUUAUUGCCAUCCUACACUUUUACAGUGAGUACAGAGCUCAUCAUUCAGUGGGGAAGGUGUUUGCAUUUUAAUUUGUUUCUGUAUUUUUCAUAAUUUGUCAGUCCUUUUCUUUUUCUGGUUUUGAACAUUGAAAAUAAUAGUUCCACGACAGACAUUAUCAUUGGGGUGGCAGGUAGCCUAGUGGUUAGAGCAUUGGGCCAAUAACCAAAUGGUUGCUGAAUAGAAUCCCUGAGCUGACAAGGUAAAACUCUCUUGUUCUGCCCCUGAGCAAGGCAGUUAACACACUGAAUGCAUUCUGGGUGCUGAAGAUGUGGAUGCUGAUUAUGGAAGCCCCCCGCACCUCUCUGAUUUAGAGGGGUUGGGUUAAAUGCGGAAGACACAUUUCAGCAGAAUUCAUUCAGUUGUACAACUGACUAGGUAUCCCCCUUUCCAAUACUGUUGCCAUAAUAGUAUUGAUGUCUCUGUAUACAGUGCAUUCGGAAACUAUUCAGAACCCUUGACUUUUCCAAAUGUUUUCGAUGGGGUUGAGGUCAGGGCUCUGUGCAGGCCAGCCAGUCCUUCUGUGGCUCAGUUGGUAGAGCACGGCGCUUGUAACGCCAGGGUAGUGGGUUCGAUUCCCGGGACCACCCAUACGUAGAAUGUAUGCACACAUGACUGUAAGUCGCUUUGGAUAAAAGCGUCAGCUAAAUGGCAUAUAUUAUUAUUAUAUAAGUUAUUCCAACGAUCUCAACAAGCUUUUGUAAUAUCUGUAUAGACCUCGCUUUGUGCACGCACAGAAUCGUCCCGAAUGUCAUUGUAUGCUGUAGCGUUGACACUGCCUUGGGGCAGUUAGCGUUCUCCUGGCAUCCGCCAAACCCAGCUUUGUCCAUCGGACUGCCAGAUGGUGAAGCGUGAUUCAUUACUCCAGAGAAGUCCAAUAGUUUCAAGCUUUACACCACUCGCCGACGCUUCGCACUGCUCAUGGUGAUCUUAGGCUUGUCUGCGGCUGCUCGGCCAUGGAAACCCAUUUCAUGAAGCUCCAGAUGAACUGUUAUUGUGCUGACGUUGUGUCCAGAGGCAGUUUGGAACUCAGUAGUGAGUGUUGCAACCGAGGACAGAGGAUUUUAAUGCGCUUCAGCACUCGGCUGUCCCGUUCUGUGAGCUUGUGUGGCCUACCACUUCGCGGCUGAGCCGUUAUUUCUCCUAGAAGUUUCCACUUCACAAUAACAGCACUUACAGUUGACCAGGGCAGCUCUAGCAUGGCAGAAAUUUGAUGAACUGACUUGUUGGAAAGGUGGCAUUUUAUGAUGUGCCACGUUAAAAGUCACAGCUCUUCAAUAAGGACAUUCUACUGCCAAUGUUUCUCUGGAGAUUGGUAUGGCUGUGUGCUCGAUUUUAUAAACCUGUCAGCAAAGGAUGUGGCUGAAAUGUCUGAAUCCACUAAUUUGAAGGGUUUUCCACAUACGUGUGUGUACAGUAGUUGUGGGUCUAUCGGAUCAGUAAAUCUGAAGUCGGUUCUGGUUCCAGAGGGGAUCUCAAUGCUGUUACACAUAGCCAUGUUAACCAAGUUACCCUGAAUUAAAAAAGAUGCGUGUUAUUAUUUCAUUUUAACUUUACAUUAUACCUUGUGUUAAGACUGACUACACACUUUCCUUAUUUAUUUCUGUCCACAACUUUUGAAACAAGUAAUAAUUAAACACACUGUCUUUCCAAUUGAUGUAAACUUCCACACAAAUA